GAUGAACGCUGGCGGCGUGCCUAAUACAUGCAAGUCGAGCGAACAGACGAGGAGCUUGCUCCUUUGACGUUAGCGGCGGACGGGUGAGUAACACGUGGGUAACCUACCUAUAAGACUGGGAUAACUUCGGGAAACCGGAGCUAAUACCGGAUAAUAUUUCGAACCGCAUGGUUCGAUAGUGAAAGAUGGCUUUGCUAUCACUUAUAGAUGGACCUGCGCCGUAUUAGCUAGUUGGUAAGGUAACGGCUUACCAAGGCAACGAUACGUAGCCGACCUGAGAGGGUGAUCGGCCACACUGGAACUGAGCCACGGUCCAGACUCCUACGGGAGGCAGCAGUGGGGAAUAUUCCGCAAUGGGCGAAAGCCUGACGGAGCAACGCCGCGUGAGUGAUGAAGGUCUUCGGAUCGUAAAACUCUGUUAUUAGGGAAGAACAAACGUGUAAGUAACUGUGCACGUCUUGACGGUACCCAAUCAGAAAGCCACGGCUAACUACGUG
rnacentral:rRNA from 1 species